GGUCAUCAGAACAUUUCUAUCUAUCAUAUUGCGUUGAAUGCCAUCCAACGUCAGCAUAUAAGAGUUUCAUCUGGUGAUCAAAUCUCAGUUAACAGGUGUUCUCCACACCAACUAGCACUCGUACAUGUCUAGUCUAAUGAGUUGUGCUGCUCUUCUAGUAUAUUCUUUCAGAUUUGUUCCUCGGGAUGAAUUUAAGCUGGCACUGCUCACAUUAGAGUUUGGAUUUUGUUAAAGGAAAGACUAAUAGAACUGAGCAAGGUAAGAACGUGUUGGUACUUGGGACGACAAGCGAGAUGGAAUUUCUGGAGUCUCUUGGUAUAUGUGAUGCAUUCUCUGUUACAUAUCAUGUUCCAAAAUUGAACAAGGAAGAUGCCAAGAAGGUUUUUUAGGCGAUGGUUGGCGGAUCUGAAUCCAACCAGCUCAGGGCGGCAAUGUCCCUACCAGGUGUGUAUAUUUGCUUUUGACCUUAACUUGUGAAACCUCUGUCCAGGUGCAGGUCCAGGAGAGCAGUUAAGGCAUUCGGAGACCUGCAAAUUAACGCAGAGACCAGCGACGUUCUCGUGUUGAAUGGUAGUAUUUUGGUUCAGCCACAACCGAGAGGUGAAAGGUGCUGCGACGAAGACGAGCAACAUGCUAAGUUUAGUCCACCCUCCAGGAUUCGAGAUCUUUUUGCGACGAAGACGAGCAAACGAGACGAGAGAAAUUUACGUAACAUACUUUGUCCGCCUGUAGCUGGCGGCAAUUGAACAAACAAGGCGAGACAAAAAAAGAAAAAGAAAGUAAUCAUACGACUUUGGUGCGAAUCUUCAGAUCCGUCCUGCCUCGAGUUCUUGCUGGAUAAAAAAAAAGAAAGUUUACGUCGUGAAAGAAGGCAAAUCCCAGUAAAAAAAAUGAAAGCAGAUGAACGAAUUACCUAUUGGACUCCAGAAUUAUAACCCAAAGUACAGAGGAGGACGGAAUCCGACGUACAGAAGAGCUUCCGUGUCAAAGUCUGAUCUAACUAAACCAGACUUGGAAUCCAAAGUAAAAGAGGCCGACUGAACACGAUCACCGCACUCAGACACGAGAAGACGACGAAAGAAAAGAAAGCUUCCGUGUCAGAGCGGUCUGCCUUUCUACCCCGCAUCGGGAAGGGGAAACACAAAAAAAAAAGAUCAGGAAGAUGAUGCUGACACGAGAGGUGGAAGGAAGUCUACCGCUCUCCCAUAAUGGAGAUUCCUUUGGAUGCUUCUCCCGGUGGCGUGUGUGGAGCACAGACACUGAAUGUGGUCCGUCGCUCCAAUCCCUCACGUAAUCGGGCCGUCUCCGGCUAUAAAUAACCCCCCCCCCGACCGAGCGUCUAACCAGGAACGCAUACCACACCACAAUUUGUUGAGCCGUUGUGCUUGUUGCCUCUCGACAUGUCGACCUGCGGCAACUGCGACUGCGCUGACAAGAGCCAGUGCGU